UUGCCAGGGCAGUGAUUUCACAAACCACGGUGGCACCAGGGGUCUGCGCAGGCAUGGCACUAAGUGUCCCAUGGCACAUUUGGCCCUCAUGGAGGCCUCAAAAGGGCAGGACCAGCACCCUCUUCUACGGAGGAAGGAACGGGCACAGCAGACUUGCGGAUCCUGCUCCCCUUCCCACUUCUGCACUUGGGGGUCUAAUGAGGCCUCAGUGGAACAUAGAAUUCCUCCCGCCCUGACAUCAUAGCUCCCGCCUGGGAGGCCUCCUGGAUGACUCCUUUCGCCUCCUCCCUUCCCUGAGAGCAGCCCCUGGCUCAACCUCCACCUCCGUGCUGCCUCGGACCACCUGCCCAGUCGAGCUGCCAUCACCUGCCAGAAACAAGGAGAGUCAGCAAUUACCAGCCAGCCAAGGUCCUGGAAGCUGACGUAGAGCUCGUGCCGACGGCAGACCUGCCGGCCGUGGGAGCCGCGGACGUCAUCUGCAGGGACAGAAGGGGCAAGGUCUUUUCUGGGGUUCCUGCUGUGUGCAGCUACUAUGGGGUACCAGGGUGGGGGAUGCCCUGAUGAGCACAUUUGUCAAAUAAAUGAAUGACAGGAAACCA
rnacentral:lncRNA from 1 species